AGAGGUAAUAUAUUUUAAAUUCUUAUACUUUGAGUCAAAAUUUAAAUUUCGAUAGAGUAAAAAUAAGUAUAUUAAUAUUAUACUCGUUGGAUAGCCAGUAUUUAAUUAUGAAUUUUAGGCUCGAGAAAUAGUCGAUUUGGAUAACCCAGGACCAAGAAAUUUCGAUUUGAAGAAAUUGGUUUUCAAAUUUAAUUAAAACUUGGAAGGAAGAUGUGAUGUUGACAUGUGUACAUGGAAUUGUCUUGAUUUUGUAUGGUGUGUACGUAUAGAAAUGGUUAUGAAUAAAAAGAAGUAGGUUUAUUUUAAUAAUUAUUUGCUUUGAUUUUGGAGAAAAAGAAGGGUAGGUUUCCUUGAUUUUAGGGAUUGAUUAUUUUAGUAUUAUUUAAUUACUUGACUUUAUGAGUUGAUAGACUCCACGUGAUGUUUAGAUAAGGGAAAAAUAACUGUAGAUUAUACUGGAUUGAGGCAUUUUACGGGAAAAACCGUCAUGGAAUAAUGAAACAAAAUUAAAUAGAAUUAAGAAUUAAUAUAAUUCCCUUUAAUUAAAUAUUCUAGGCAGUGCUGACUAAUUAGACUACCUUUUGUUUAAACAUAAUAUUCAUUAAAAUAAGAUAGAAUUUUAAUUAUUUCGGAGCAUUUAUUUUGGAAGAUAAACUAUAUUAUAAUAGAUAAGUGAUGGCAAAUAAAUCUUCUAUUUGUAAAUAUAGUAUUAUAGAUAAUCUCAAACUUUUUGAUAAC
rnacentral:lncRNA from 1 species